rnacentral:rRNA from 1 species
UGAUUCCUCCUUUCUUGACGAACCGUGAUGUCAUUAAUUUGGUGUUGCGGGAAAUCAGGACUGUUACUUUGAAAAAAUUAGAGUGUUUAAAGCAGGCUAACGCUUGAAUACAUUAGCAUGGAAUAAUGAAAUAGGACGUUAAUCCUAUUUUGUUGGUUUCUAGGAUCGACGUAAUGAUUAAUAGGGAUAGUUGGGGGCAUUAGUAUUCAAUUGUCAGAGGUGAAAUUCUUGGAUUUAUUGAAGACUAACUACGGCGAAAGCAUUUGCCAAGGAUGUUUUCAUUAAUCAAGAACGAAAGUUAGGGGAUCAAAACGAUCAGAUACCGUCGUAGUCUUAACCAUAAACUAUGCCGAC